GCAGUGUCAAAGAAAAUAUUUAUUACAUAGAUGAAACAUAGUGCAAUGAAAAUACCUCAAGAUGAAAGUUUAACAAAGGCAGACCUCUUUUCUAACACAGGUUGAGGUAUAUACAAAGCAAACACUGAGGACUUCCAGCGUCCUAUGGACUUAAUUACAUGCACUGGAAUAUUUUGAUUAGAGGCUGUGGAGGCUGCCUCUAUCCGAAAGGAAUGGCCAGAAAAAUUACUGCCGUUCAGACCUAGUCUGGUCAGUAACAUGCAGACGUAUUGCAUAAAUUUAGCUGUUGUUAAUACAUCUCUGUGUAGGACUAGCAGCGGGAUGUCAGCCUGAUGCGGUAAUGAUUGAAGGUAUGUAUCCAGUACUUUAACCGGGCACCAUUUGUUUGCAGUAGGAUAAUACGCAAUGGGUACUACUUUACCCAGCUGACUUGUUUUUGUAACGGGUAGUGACAAGAUAUAGUGAUCAUGUCGUUUGAUGAGAUGGGACCGUUUUAGGUAGUUUCGUGCGUAUUUGUUGCCAUGUAUGGUAAACUCGCCAGGUCUAAGAAAACCACAGUACGCCAAGUAGAUGGCUGUUUUGAUUACCAGGUUUGUAUUGUGUUCAAGUGGGACAGUAUCCAACAAGUCAGACAUGUCCUUAAAUAGCUGUUUAUGUACUGGUAAUCUUGUGGAUGGAGGAGUGGUG